rnacentral:misc_RNA from 1 species
GGUAGCCGUACCGGAAGGUGUGGCUGGAUCACCUCCUUUUAGGGAGACCUACCUACUCAGAUUCUGAAAGCACAAUGCAAAUAAGGAUUGAGUUGGUCAUCCCAAGGUCGUUCGAGGUAUGAGUGUAAGGCUUUCAAACUAUUUCUAGGUUUGAUAUCAACCUCAGUGGGCAAGCCGCCCUUAGUAAGUACGGUUUAACCCACUGAAGUUCUUCUUGCAAAUCGAUAUAGUAGUAGAUGUGGAAGUUGAUUGAGUUGAGACAAAGACCUCAACGGAACGAGCAGAAAACAAUCAACAGACAACCCUAAAGAGUUCGGUUCUUGCAUCCCACAAACAAGAAUAGAUUCGCUAGAGUAGUGAAUGUGGCAAACGAGUUAGCCGGUGGACAAGUGAACCGACACUAAGGAAACAGUAUUUCAGCCAAUUGGAUCAACGACUUCAGCAACUUAUCUAGCUUGUAAUUAGACUGGAGAGCCUGCUGGAUUUUGAACUCCAGUCACGAACCUUGAAAAUUGCAUAGCAACUUGUCAGGUAGUUAGUGAGAACUGAGCAAUGACUCAGUGAUUCACUAAUCACAGACACCAAUGAAUUUUGU